AGCAGCCGCGGUAAUUCCAGCUCCAAUAGCGUAUAUUAAAGUUGUUGCAGUUAAAAAGCUCGUAGUUGAAUUUCGGGACCAUCAUGUUGGUCGUGCCUCGGUACGUACUGGCAUUGUUGGUUUCUCCCUUCUGACGAACCAUGAUGUCAUUUAUUUGGUGUCGUGGGAAAUCAGGACUGUUACUUUGAAAAAUUAGAGUGUUUAAAGCAGGCUCACGCUUGAAUACAUUAGCAUGGAAUAAUGAAAUAGGACGUUUGAUUCUAUUUUGUUGGUUUCUAGGAUCGACGUAAUGAUUAAUAGGGAUAGUUGGGGGCAUUAGUAUUCAAUUGUCAGAGGUGAAAUUCUUGGAUUUAUUGAAGACUAACUACUGCGAAAGCAUUUGCCAAGGAUGUUUUCAUUAAUCAAGAACGAAAGUUAGGGGAUCGAAGACGAUCAGAUACCGUCGUAGUCUUAACCAUAAACUAUGACCGACUAGGGAUCGGAUGAUGUUAACUUUUUAAUGUACUUAUUCGGCGUCCUU
rnacentral:misc_RNA from 1 species